CUACGGGAUGCUGCAGUGGGGAAUAUUGCACAAUGGGCGCAAGCCUGAUGCAGCCAUGCCGCGUGUAUGAAGAAGGCCUUCGGGUUGUAAGGUACUUUCAGCGGGGAGGAAGGGAGUAAAGUUAAUACCUUUGCUCAUUGACGUUACCCGCAGAAGAAGCACCGGCUAACUCCGUGCCAGCAGCCGCGGUAAUACGGAGGGUGCAAGCGUUAAUCGGAAUUACUGGGCGUAAAGCGCACGCAGGCGGUUUGUUAAGUCAGAUGUGAAAUCCCCGGGCUCAACCUGGGAACUGCAUCUGAUACUGGCAAGCUUGAGUCUCGUAGAGGGGGGUAGAAUUCCAGGUGUAGCGGUGAAAUGCGUAGAGAUCUGGAGGAAUACCGGUGGCGAAGGCGGCCCCCUGGACGAAGACUGACGCUCAGGUGCGAAAGCGUGGGGAGCAAACAGGAUUAGAUACCCUCGUAGUC
rnacentral:rRNA from 1 species